UCCUCCUGCGACUGGACAUGGGCCAGAGAGAUAGAGUGAAAAAAAAAAAAAAAAAAAAAAA
rnacentral:ribozyme from 1 species